rnacentral:rRNA from 1 species
AGUGAACGCUGGCGGUAGGCCUAACACAUGCAAGUCGAACGGCAGCACAGUAAGAGCUUGCUCUUACGGGUGGCGAGUGGCGGACGGGUGAGGAAUACAUCGGAAUCUACUUUUUCGUGGGGGAUAACGUAGGGAAACUUACGCUAAUACCGCAUACGACCUACGGGUGAAAGCAGGGGAUCUUCGGACCUUGCGCGAUUGAAUGAGCCGAUGUCGGAUUAGCUCGUUGGCGGGGUAAAGGCCCACCAGGGCGACGAUCCGUAGCUGGUCUGAGAGGGUGUUCAGCCACACUGGAACUGAGACACGGUCCAGACUCAGACGAGAGGCAGCAGUGGGGAAUAUUGGACAAUGGGCGCAAGCCUGAUCCAGCCAUACCGCGUGGGUGAAGAAGGCCUUCGGGUUGUAAAGCCCUUUUGUUGGGAAAGAAAAGCAGCAGGUUAAUACCCCGCUGUUCUGAGGGUACCCAAAGAAUAAGCACCGGCUAACUUCGUG